UACGGAGGGGGCUAGCGUUGUUCGGAAUUACUGGGCGUAAAGCGCACGUAGGCGGCGAUUUAAGUCAGAGGUGAAAGCCCGGGGCUCAACCCCGGAAUAGCCUUUGAGACUGGAUUGCUAGAAUCUUGGAGAGGCGAGUGGAAUUCCGAGUGUAGAGGUGAAAUUCGUAGAUAUUCGGAAGAACACCAGGUGGCGAAGGCGGGCUCGCUGGGACC
rnacentral:rRNA from 1 species